rnacentral:rRNA from 1 species
CGGACGGGUGAGUAAUGUCUGGGAAACUGCCCGAUGGAGGGGGAUAACUACUGGAAACGGUAGCUAAUACCGCAUAACGUCGCAAGACCAAAGAGGGGGACCUUAGGGCCUCUUGCCAUCGGAUGUGCCCAGAUGGGAUUAGCUAGUAGGUAAGGUAACGGCUUACCUAGGCGACGAUCCCUAGCUGGUCUGAGAGGAUGAUCAGCCACACUGGGACUGAGACACGGCCCAG